rnacentral:rRNA from 1 species
GAUCAAGCUACAAAGGGCUCACGGUGGAUACCUUGGCACACAGAGCCGAUGAAGGACGUGGUUACCUGCGAUAAGUCUCGGGGAGCUGGAAACACGCUUUGAUCCGGGAAUUUCCGAAUGGGGCAACCCCUAGAACGGUCCGCUGAAUCCAUAGGCGGACGCGAGCCAACCCAGCGAACUGAAA